GACCAGGGAUGGGAAUCGAACCCAUAGUGUUCCGCUUACCGGGCAGAUGCCAUGUCCACUAGGCUACCCUGGA